ACUUCAUUUGUGCCGAGGAGCAUUCAACUACUUAACGAAUCAUCCAUGGGCACAUAGAUUGAUUUUGAAUGUGCAUUAUUGAAUAUACUGUAUAUCUAUUUAUUGAUUCUUUUAAGCUGCGGAAUAUUUUAGAGUUGUCAAAUUGAUAUAUUCCAUGUCACUUUUGUCUUUAUUCUUCUUUAUUUAUGUUUAUUUUAUGUUUUUUGUGGUUAUGUUUAUUAUGGUUCCCAUGAGUGUAAAACAAAUUCCCCUUUGGGGCAAUAAAGGUUUCAUUCA